UGGGGAAUCUUCCGCAAUGGACGAAAGUCUGACGGAGCAACGCCGCGUGAGUGAAGAAGGCCUUCGGGUCGUAAAGCUCUGUUGUCAGGGAAGAAAGGUACUUUUGCGAAUAAUGGGAGUAAAUGACUGUACCUACAAAGGAAGCACCGGCUAACUCCGUGCCAGCAGCCGCGGUAAUACGGGGGGUGCAAGCGUUGUCCGGAAUCAUUGGGCGUAAAGCGUUCGUAGGCGGUAUAUCAAGUCUGGUGUUAAAGCCCGGGGCUCAACUCCGGUUCGGCACUGGAUACUGGUAAACUAGAAUGCGGUAGAGGUAAGGGGAAUUCCUGGUGUAGCGGUGAAAUGCGUAGAUAUCAGGAGGAACAUCGGUGGCGAAAGCGCCUUACUGGGCCGUAAUUGACGCUGAGGAACGAAAGCCGGGGGAGCAAAUG
rnacentral:rRNA from 1 species